rnacentral:rRNA from 1 species
CAGGCCUAACACAUGCAAGUCGAGCGGCAGCGAAAAAAAGCUUUUUGCUUUUUUGUCGGCGAGCGGCAAACGGGUGAGUAAUAUCUGGGAAUCUACCUAAAAGAGGGGGAUAACUACUAGAAAUGGUAGCUAAUACCGCAUAAUGUUGAAAAACCAAAGUGGGGGAUCUUUUUUAAAGACCUUACGCUUUUAGAUGAGCCCAGAUGAGAUUAGCUUGUUGGUAAGGUAAAAGCUUACCAAGGCAACGAUCUCUAGCUGGUCUGAGAGGAUAACCAGCCACACUGGAACUGAGACACGGUCCAGACUCCUACGGGAGGCAGCAGUGGGGAAUAUUGCACAAUGGGCGCAAGCCUGAUGCAGCUAUGCCGCGUGUAUGAAGAAGGCCUUAGGGUUGUAAAGUACUUUCAGCGAGGAAGAAAAAAAUAAAACUAAUAAUUUUAUCUAUUGACGUUACUCGCAAAAGAAGCACCGGCUAACUCCGUGCCAGCAGCCGCGGUAAU